CGGAAACCGGAGCUAAUACCGGAUAAUAUAUUGAACCGCAUGGUUCAAUAGUGAAAGACGGUUUUGCUGUCACUUAUAGAUGGAUCCGCGCCGCAUUAGCUAGUUGGUAAGGUAACGGCUUACCAAGGCAACGAUGCGUAGCCGACCUGAGAGGGUGAUCGGCCACACUGGAACUGAGACACGGUCCAG
rnacentral:rRNA from 1 species